GGGGGAGCCAUAUGGUUCAAACGUGAAGCAAGAUGGCUCGCAGUGCACUUGACACGGCAUUGCAAGGGCUACGGGAUAACCCAACGACCCCUAGACUGUCGCAUGAGUUGAGAAAGCAUGAGUUUGUAACCGUGAGUCAGGAGCGGCGCUGGGAUGAGAUGCCAGCGGCCAUGCAGGCAGGGGUGACGGUGCCUCAAGCAAGCAAGGGAUCAUCGUGGCGAAUUGGUUGAUCACAUAAACUGCUUUCUGAGCUGGGUGGCAUGUCCGCUGGCAUGCCCUUGUUUAAGUGUGAUUGACCAACAUGGCGGACCUAAGAGCUUAGGGGAAAGACGAGGACCCACAUACCCUCUCUCCUCUCAACAUGGGGCCCACGUGGAGAGUGGGGGUGAGCGUGGCACUGGUACUGAUGGGUCUCGUGGCACUGUGUCAGGCAGAGGAACCCCAGUACCAGUGCUAUACCUUCGGGAAGGCCACGUACCCCGCAAAGGGAAGCCUUGACAAAAGUGUUUAUCGGCAACUGAGGGAUGAUGAACGCUGUCCAGGUAUUGGAUGCGCAGGUAUGUGAUGUUUGCUCAGUGAA